rnacentral:rRNA from 1 species
AGUGAACGCUGGCGGUAGGCCUAACACAUGCAAGUCGAACGGCAGCACAGUAAGAGCUUGCUCUUACGGGUGGCGAGUGGCGGACGGGUGAGGAAUACAUCGGAAUCUACUUUUUCGUGGGGGAUAACGUAGGGAAACUUACGCUAAUACCGCAUACGACCUACGGGUGAAAGCAGGGGAUCUUCGGACCUUGCGCGAUCGAAUGAGCCGAUGUCGGAUUAGCUAGUUGGCGGGGUAAAGGCCCACCAAGGCGACGAUCCGUAGCUGGUCUGAGAGGAUGAUCAGCCACACUGGAACUGAGACACGGUCCAGACUCCUACGGGAGGCAGCAGUGGGCACUAUUGGACAAUGGGCGCAGUCCUGAUGCAUGCAUACCGCGUGGGUGAAGAAGAGAUUCGGGUUGUAAAGCCCUUUUGUUGGGAAAGAAAAGCAGGAGGUUAAUACCCCGCUGUUCUGACGGUACCCAAAGAAUAAGCACCGGCUAACUUCGUG